AUUGAACGCUGGCGGCAGGCCUAACACAUGCAAGUCGAACGAGUGGCGGACGGGUGAGUAAUGUCUGGGAAACUGCCUGAUGGAGGGGGAUAACUACUGGAAACGGUAGCUAAUACCGCAUACCAUCGGAUGUGCCCAGAGGGGAUUAGCUAGUAGGUGGGGUAACGGCUCACGAAGGCGACGAUCCCUAGCUGGUCUGAGAGGAUGACCAGCCACACUGGGACUGAGACACGGUCCAGACUCCUACGGGAGGCAGCAGUGGGGAAUAUUGCGCAAUGGGCGCAAGCCUGAUGCAGCCAUGCCGCGUGUAUGAUGAAGGCCUUCGGGUUGUAAAGCACUUUCAGCGGGGAGGCGGUACCCGCAGAAGAAGCACCGGCUAACUCAGUGCCAGCAGCCGCGGUAAUUA
rnacentral:rRNA from 1 species